CGUCUCAUCGCGCUGAAGGAUCUUUCACUAGUUGCCGAUGAAUUACAAUUUUAGCCUCUGUCAAAGAUUCAAUCAAAUCAAUAUCGGUUUUCUGUAAGUCAUUUGUCAAGGCGAUUGUUGAGCUUAAUAUGUGUUCUGCAACAACAAGACUUAUGAUAAAUUCAAAUCGAAGUAUCGCAUUCAUACUCUGUGCUGUUUUGUCAUCGUUGUCGUCUUUAAGUG
rnacentral:lncRNA from 1 species